rnacentral:piRNA from 1 species
UGCUGAAGUUUUUUAACGAAA